rnacentral:rRNA from 1 species
AGAGUUUGAUCCUGGCUCAGGAUGAACGCUGGCGACGUGCUUAACACAUGCAAGUCGAACGCCCCGCAAGGGGAGUGGCAGACGGGUGAGUAAUGCGUAGGAAUCUAUUCCAAACUGGGGAAUACCCUUGCGAAAGCGAGGUUAAUGCCCCAUAGUCCCGCGAGGGUAAAGCCUUGGCGGUUUGGAAGGAGCCUGCGUCCUAUCAGCUUGUUGGUGAGGUAAUGGCUUACCAAGGCUAUGACGGGUAGCUGGUCUGAGAGGAUGAUCAGCCACAAUGGGACUGAGACACGGCCCUUACUCCUACGGGAGGCAGCAGUGUGGAAUAUUGCGCAAUGGGCGAAAGCCUGACGCAGCGACGUCGCGUGGUCGAAGAAAUCCUUCGGGAUGUAAAGACCUUUUCUUUGGGAUGAUUAUGACAGUACCAAAGGAAUAAGAGCCUGCUAACUA